rnacentral:rRNA from 1 species
AUGCGGGGCGACGCGCCGCCGCCUACCGCGCCAUCGGCCUCCUCCUCCUCCGCCUCCCCCUCCCUCUUCGGCGGCGGCGGUGGCGAGCUCUUCGAGUCGGGGCCCUCGCCGCUCGUCUUCCUGCCCCUGCUCCUGAUCCAGGGCGGCGGCAUGGACCUCUCCCGCGUCGGCGAGAGGCUCCUCAGCUCCGUCCGCUCCGCGCGCUCCCUCGGCCUCAUCCCCCCGACCCCAGCCCCUGCCCCUUCCCGCCCCGAGGUUCCAGCUCGAGCUGCUGCAGCCGCGGCCGCUGCGCGCGCGAUCGCCGGGCUGCCACCACACGAGAGGAUCAACCUGCCGUCCAAUUCGGAGGACCUGGUCUCGAUCUACGGGAGCAACCCGCAGGGGCCAGCCGUUGAUGAGCUCGAGGAGGUGUUCUAUGAGGAGGAAUUCGACCCCAUAAAGUACAUUCUGGCAAAUAUUUCGGAAGGAGCUGGUGACGCCACCUAUUUCGAUAAGCAGUCUACUUUGAGAUUAGCGCAGCUCGACAAGAUUGCAGAACGAUUGUCUCAUCAUGUUAUGGGUCACCAUGAAGAAAUGGUGAAGGGGAUGCAGUUAGUGAUGGAGUUAGAACAAGACUUAAAGGUUGCAAAUGUGAUCUGCAUGAACGGUCGAAGGCACAUAUCCUCUUCCAAGAAUGAGGUGUCAAGGGAUCUGGUUGUCAAUGUAAAAUCAAAGAAAAAACAAGCUUUGUUGGAUGUUCUUCCUGUUCUUACAGAACUUCGACAUGCUCAAGAUAUGCAAAUGGAGCUAGAAACUUUUGUUGAGAAAGAAAAUUACUUUCAGGCAUUUCAAUUAUUACCAGAGUAUCUGCAAAUCUUGGAGAACUAUUCAGGCCUUUCCGCCGUACAAGAAAUGGGACGAGGGAUUGAGGCAUGGUUAGCAAGGACAAUCAGAAAGUUGGACAACCAUUUACUGGGAGUUUGUCAGACCUUCAGUGAAGAAAGCUAUCUAACCGUGAUUGAUGCAUUCGCAUUGAUGGGUGACAUUGGUGGCAUGGCUGAAAAGAUGCAGAGUUUCUUUUUGCAAGAAGUACUCUCUCGAACACAUAUUGUCCUGAAGGAAAUGUUGGAAGAGGAGGUGGGAAAUAAUACACAGAGAAAUAGAUUUACAUACAGUGAUCUUUGUGUUCAAGUUCCUGAGUCCAAACUCCGCUCCUGCUUGUUAAAAACUCUUGAGAGCAUAUUUUCGUUGAUGCGGUCAUAUUAUGCUAUUAUGAGCUUUUGCCCAGAAGCAAAGAAUAACACGUCUAAGAGUCCAAGUGGAACUUCAGCUGAUACAGGAAGAAGCCAUUCAAGUGCAGUAGUCAAUCAGGAUGAUGUUGCUGCCACGAAGAGCGACAGGAUGCCAUCUUCUGUCAGUAAUCCUGAUGCUAGCACAUCAGGAACAGAUGCUCCAUUCUAUCAACUGAGGACAGAUGCUACAAAACUUGUUAAAUAUACAUUUGAAAGGGGCCGGAGAAAUCUUUGGCAACUGGCAACAAGUCGCCUGUCUGUUUUACUGGCUUGUUCAGCUGUUUCUUCAACUAGCAUAUACCAAUUUCUGAAGAACUAUGAAGAUCUCACACUAUUUAUUCUGGCCGGUGAAGCAUUUUGUGGGUUUGAAGCUAGCGAAUUCCGACAGAAGCUGAAGACAGUCUGUUUGAACUACAUAGUGACCUUUCACCGGCAAAAUAUAUACGCACUUAAAAUGGUACUGGAAAAGGAAUCUUGGACAAUAAUGUCUGCUGAAGCUAGUCAGAUAAUUAGUUUAGCAGGACUUACUGGUGAUGGCGCUGCACUGAUUUCGCCUACCAGUGGUAGUUCUACCUUGCCAAAAGAUUAUUUCCGUGGAAAUUCUACCGCAACCAAUACAGGAAGGCAAAACAAUGGAUUUGCUUCCUGGCAUAAUAUGGGGAACCCAUUUUCUUUCAAGUUAGAGAAUGGCUCCGCGGAAUCCCCCAAGGGCAAUGUGCUGUUCAACUCAUCAGUUGGCAAUGGAAAUAAUUCACCAUUUGAUGAAGAGAAUGAAGACCUUCUUGCUGAUUUCAUUGAUGAAGAUAGUCAAUUGCCCAGUAGGACAUUGAAAACAAAAAUUGUGAAAGGCAAUACUUCACAUUGGAAAGAUGGAGACAUUUCAUCACAGACAGGAUCAUCACUUUCUUUAUUAAGGAUGAUGGAUAAAUAUGCUAGACUUAUGCAAAAGCUGGAAAUGGUCAAUGUUGAGCUUUUUAAGGGCAUGUUCCAACUUUUUGGCAUCUUUUAUCACCACAUAUAUGAGACAUUUGGGUACCAGGACAGGAGUCAAAGUGGCAAGCCACUACCUGAUUCUCAAUCAUUUCGGCUUAAAGCGGCUUUAUCAAAAAUAACACAAGACUCUGAUCAGUGGAUUAAACCACAGAACAGUUUGUAUCCAUCUUCAUCAUCUUUAUCAAUUGGUUCAACUAUUGCCCAAAUGGAUGUGAUGCCUACUGCGCCCCCAAGCUCAAUGUUCACCUCCUAUGGGUUAAAGGAGAGAUGCGCAGCUGCCGAAACAGUAUCACUGGUUGCUCGAGUUUUGAACAGAUCUAGAGCCCAUCUACAUUCUGUGUUGUCUCAAAAUAAUACUUCUGUUGUUGAAGAGUUUUUUGGGACAUUGGUGGACACCGUUCCAGACUUGGCUGAGCACAUUCAUAGAACAAGUGCACGGAUGCUUUUGCAUAUCAAUGGGUAUCCGGAUAAGAUAGCAAAUGCCAAAUGGGAGGUCAAGGAGCUUGGCACAGACCACAAUGGUUACGUUGAUUUAUUAUUGGGCGAGUUCAAACAUUACAAAACAAGAUUGGAUCAUGGAGGAAUUUCUAAGGAGCUCCAACACCUCUUGCUGGACUAUGGCAUAGAGAGCAUUGCAGAAGUGUUAGUUGAAGGGCUGUCUAGAGUGAAAAGGUGCACUGAUGAAGGGCGUGCAUUGAUGUCACUUGACCUUCAGGUACUGAUCAAUGGGCUGCAACACAUAGUAUCGUCAAAUGUUAAGCCGAGGCUGCAAAUUGUGGAAACUUUCGUGAAGGCUUAUUAUUUGCCAGAGACGGAGUAUGUCCACUGGGCACGGUCUCAUCCAGAAUACAGCAAGAGCCAGGUUGUCGGGCUGGUUAACCUGGUGGCCACCAUGAAAGGAUGGAAAAGGAAAACGAGGUUAGAAACCAUUGAGAAGAUUGAGGCAGCGUCGUAG